CAACUCUGUGGCUUAUUAUUUUCUGAAGACUUCAAAGCAGAUUGCAUUGCAUUUUCUUCCAGGAUCAUGACAGUGUGAAGGGACCGGGUGGAACGGGAGCAGCCGCAGCGUGGGAGCCUGAUUUCCCUUCACUCCUAGGCCCCCAGGCAACAGCGGCAUCAUUCUCCUCUGGGCAAACACGUUACUGGCCCCAGCCCUGUGCCUAAGCGGCCCGGUGCCUGUCCUCAAGGUUGCUUCGGAGUCCAAACCGUUAGGUCAGACCUUGUGGGCACAUCAGAGGCCACCCGGCCACAGCUGAUAAGGGGCAGCCUCUCCAGAGAGAAGGGCGGCCGAGCAGGCCGGGCAGAGAGCCCAGAUGUCACCUCUAGCCCCAUCACUCCGGACGGAUGUCCACCUGCUCUACAGGUUCUCUGGGGAAGGACAUUUCCCAGCUCAGGGAAUUACCAGUCGAGGGUUUUAUAACCACAAUAUGGGGCCGAGUCAUUCCAGUGAGAAGUUGCUGCCACUUUACCUUUCUUCCCAAGUAGGCAAAUUUAAAUGAAAGAAUGGCUGGACUUCAUUGGAAGCAGAUCCGGAGCACGAGAGCUUUCCUUCUGUCCACCUGGGAAGGUUCUGCUCUUGCAAGGCAGCCCCUCCCUCCCGACUACCUGCAAAGGUCUGCAGACCCGAGGAGGGAGCUCGUGGUAGGUCCGCAGAGCACGGACUUAGCCAUCCUGACUGAUGAUGUGAGGUUAGACACCGCACAACACAACGGCUCAGAGUAAUAAGCAGUGAGUGUUGUUUGCGGUUCUUGCUUUAUAGUUUGCCGAACUGCUUUCUUAUAUAUCUUCAUAAUCUUUGCAAACUAAGCUUCAAGGCAAAGGCUGUAAUUAUCCUGAUUUUCCAAAGGAGGUGGCUGAGCUUCAGCCACCAAAGCAGUGCUUCUUAAAAAUGUAAUGUGCAUAUGAAUCACCAGGGAUCUUAUUAAAACACAGAUUCAGACUCAGGUGAUCUGGGCGUUAGAAACCAUAGAUUCUGAUUUCUAACAGGUGAUGUCGAUGCUGCUGGCCUGAGGACCUCACUUGAAUAGAGAGGGGCCAGGGAGCUUGGCCAAGUUGCCCAAGUCCUAAGUGAAUAGGCACCUGCAUCUGCCUGACUCCAAAGCCAGUGCUCUGUGUCUGACUGUGCCCACUGAGAAUCCUGCAAUCCAACCACUUACUUUCUAGGAGACCAGAAUGCUGGAGGGUUUAGGUGGAGGGAGAGGAAGCUUUGCUGAGAGGAGGGGGCUGCUCUCUCCAGGCCCAGCUCCUUUCUCAAGGUUUAAUGAGGAAGAAAGGGAUGGAGAGGGAUUGUCUCGGGGGUAGUGAGGCACCACAGCCGGGCAGCUGUCAGUGGGUCUGUUGGAAAAAUUAAUUUUUUAAUUAAAAACAUCUUUUUCUCCCUCUCUUCUUUCCCUUUUGCUUUAAUGUCUCAGUCUGGAGUAAUUAUGAGUCGCUCUGGGGAGACUGAACCUUAGAAAAAUUGUUGGUGUGACUGGAGAGGAAUUUAUCUGAUUAACUUGGGCUCAGCCUUUGAAAAAAAAAAUAAAGCAAAAGGGAAGUAAAAAAGGAAAAAAGGG
rnacentral:lncRNA from 12 species